AGGAAAGGACAGUGCGGCCGCGAUAUUGAAGCUCUCCGGCGCUGGGUUAUAUUAGUGGGAUCCCAGGACAGGACUUGAUUAGCACCUUCCUGCCGUCAGACUGCUGGAGAGUAUACCCUGGAAAGACAUGAUGCUUCUAAAUAUUAUUUCCAUGUAACUACUACACUACCUGCUGUAUGGUGUAUUGUGUCCUGUCUGACACCCAGCACAUUAUAUGGGAAGAUGCGAUGAAUGUGUGUGUAAACCAGAUUGUUAACACACUACACAUUGGGGUUGCAGUUACAAUCCCGACAAGAUACCGGCUGCAGAAUCCCAAAAGGUGACAGGACACUGACGCUGGAAUUCCAACUGUUGGGAUCUCUAUCAUUUACACAUUAAGAUGGGGUACACAGGUUAUCCACAGGAUAAACAGUGGGAUAUGAUGUAUCAACAGCGGAUUGGCACCAUUGAUCAAAGUUUUCAGGCUCACAGAAUGCACCAGGCCAGUCCCUCUAUAUCCCCUCCUCCUUUCUCAGGCAAUUCAGUUUGUUUGGAGCGGCAGGAGGCAGACCAUGGUCAUUGGGCUACUGUUUUUAUAGCAGCCAUAAGCUUUUUAUUUUAUAGUUUUGUUUUUUUUUUGUUUUUUUUUCCGGCGAGAUCUUUCUAAAACGUCCUAUGCGUACCAUUUAGAGUCGCUCCAACAACUCUCCGCUGGGUCACAACAAUGCUGUUUUUUGGUGGGCAUCUGUGUAGGAUAUACUAGCAUGUACUGCAGACAUUACCUGGCUAUGGCUGGAGCACGGGGAGAAGAUAAGGCAUGGGUUCCGCUUAGGAGGGAAAACACUAGACACGGCAGCACUGCUUUGGGAAGGAUACUACCUCAGGGAUCAUAGGCUCCAGGGUGAUGGGCCCUACACACUGGCCGAGCUGCCAGACGGCGGAUACGGGUGACCGGGGGGCAGUGAAGUUUCUUCACUCCCCCCGUCACCCGGCUGCACUGAAGUGCAGGCAAAUAUGGACGAGAUCGUCCUUAUUGGCCUGCAUGUACAGCCGAUGGGGCACCAGCGAUGAACGAGCGUGGUGCCGUUCAUCGCUGGAGCCUCCACACUGCACGAUAUGAACGUUAUCUCGUUCAUUAAUGAACGAGAUUGUUCAUAUUGUGCAGUCAUGUCGGCCAGUGUGUAGGGCCCUUUAGUCUGAGACUGGGGUUGAUGUCUGCAGUGGGGAGUAAGACACUCUCUCCUGGUUGCCCCUCCCCGGUUCGUGACCAGUUUCCUCAGAGUUUCCAUCUGUGAGGCUCUGUAUCUGGAAAGACCCAGUCGCAGCAUAGUCCGCUGUAUGACUAGUGCGUCGGUGUUCACUUGGGCAUUUGUGUUCACUGUAGGUUCACAUGGCCAUUGUGUACCCUAAUAGCGUCUGGAUACACUCCAGGGACGUGCGGGGAGCUAAAUGGCUCAGGAGGCUCUGGCUAGCACCAGAGACAGAUUCACACACAAUAUAUGAACCAAAGCGUACAUCUGGGCAUUAUACACAGGUGCAGCGGUAUAUACAUCUGGGCAUUAUACACAGGUGCAGCAGUAUACACUCCUGAAAAUUUUGUGAGUUUUGAUCAGAGAUGAGCGUAAAAGAUAGGCAGGUGAGGCCGUUCAGCGUUAAUGUAUUGAUCGAUCCUGGAAGUGGUGUUAAGUCUCCCUGUAUCCCACUCUCCUGAACUAUAGUAGGUGAUAUAGCACUAAGGGGGUCAUUCUGAGUUGAUCGUAGCUGUGCUAAAUUUAGCACAGCUACGAUCAUGUUCCCAGACAUGCAGGGGGACGCACAGGGUUAGCCCGCCCCACCCCCUCCCCCGCACAAGUCCAAAAGCAUCUCACAGCGGUGAUGCUUUUGUACUUGUUGAGAAACUCCUGGCCAUUGCAGCUCCUGCGGUUGAACGGGAGUUGCUCGUCGCUGCCCAUGGUCGCAGCAGCUACAUGUUACGUCACGCAGCCGCCCGCCACCUGCACGGUCCGGCCAUGCCCUCAAAACGCAAUUGUAGAAUAUACCUGUUUCUUGUAUAUGUGUUAAUGCACUCUGUACUGGGUAGGGUUUGGCAAUAGGAUUAAUUAAAAAAUGUAUAUUUGAAAUCUGGCACUUUGAAUAUUGAUAAGGGUUUAUCAACCGCUUCUAUAGAUGUGCCACAACCACAUUCCCUUACCACCACUCGUUCCUAACGAGGGGUCCCAUGUACUUUUGCUCUCAUGGGCAUUCAGUGCCCAAAUGAAACUGUAUUUAGAGCAGUGCGCCUAUCUGCUACAAUAAAGAUUUGCAGCAUUACUAUAUUUUAUUGUGUACACCUUGUUAGUUACCAUAUUAGUGAGAACACUUGCAGAGACUGAACGCAGACUAUUUUAUUUCCAUUUCAUCACUACAGAGCGUGGUACCUCUAUGAACAGUCUGCAUUAUGCUAGUGAGUGCUAGGUCUACUCCCCUGAUACUCACAAAAGUUUAGAUGAUGUUUAAAGCUGUCCAUGUUAGGAAGUGGUUAUGUUUGUUAUUUAACGUAAGUUGGAUUUAUUGCUGAUCUGUUCAGCACUUUUCAAUAUAAGUGAAACGCUGUAAACAUAUAUAAUAUGUUUACAAAACUACAAAAAUGUUGUUCUAUAUUUAAAUUUGUUUUAAAAAUUAUUUAUUGCAAA